UACGGGGGAUGCAAGCGUUAUCCGGAUUUAUUGGGUUUAAAGGGUGCGUAGGCUGUGAGGUAAGUCAGCGGUGAAAUGCCCUCGCUCAACGGGGUGAAGUGCCAUUGAUACUGCCUUGCUGGAAUGCGGAUGCCGUGGGAGGAAUGUGUGGUGUAGCGGUGAAAUGCAUAGAUAUCACACAGAACACCGAUUGCGAAGGCAUCUCACGAAUCCGCGAUUGACGCUGAUGCACGAAAGCGUGGGUAUCAAACAGG
rnacentral:rRNA from 1 species